AGCCCACACCUGAAGCAGGAUAGCCUCAGGUCUGGCUUGGCACAGGCAAGACCUCAGGCUGUCCUGCUUCAGGUGUGGGCUC
rnacentral:pre_miRNA from 1 species